GGGCCGGCGGCCUCCAGGCGGCUGCGCGGUGUCCUCCGGUGCCUCCGGGCUCCUCUGAGGGCCCUUUUUGGUGUGCCUGGGGGGUUUCGCCCCCGUGCCCGAAGCCGUGCCUUUAGCGGUUGCUUCCGGCGCGGCCUCCAGCAGCCGUGUGGGGAGACUGCACAGCUCAGGAGGAACGCUUGCAUGGGUCAGGGGCGUGCUGCACGGUUUGGGUCCAGCAGCAGCAGUUAGUGGGAACAACUGGCGUGCCUGUGUUGGAAAUAGUGAGGCCGGAGGCGAGAGUAAGCUGAACACACUGCUCCAGAUGUGGCUUUAUGCGUGCUGAACAGAGUGCAGUAAUCGUGUCCCUUGACCUGCUGGUUAUGGCCUUGCUAAUGCAGUCCAAGAUUUAUCUGUACUCAUCCGGUUUGUUGAAGUCUUCCAGAAUUGGAGCUCUUCUCAUCAGUAUUCUGACAGCCUCCCUUUGAUUUGAUUUUACCCUGUACUUCCUAAAGAUCUUAUCAUUCAGGUCAUGAAUGAAAACCAUUGAAGUCAUACCAUCCCCAAUCUUCUUCCCAGGGAUUGCCACUGGGAAUCACC
ensembl:lncRNA